CAUCAACAGGCAAGACCAAAGUCACAACACACGAAGAAGAGAUCCCAGAGACAGAGUUGGAAAGUCAGCAGAGGGCAGCAGUGAACAAUGACAUGUCUUCACCGGAUCUAUUACUGACCUGAAGACUGAGCUAUAGAGACACAGUGAGCUGACAUCCACAGUCGAGUCAUCUUUGAAAGAAUAUAAAGACCCCAAGCACCACAGUCGAGGCUGACUUUUCAUUCAAGAAAAACUCUACUGUACCUCAAACAGGCCGCGAGCCACGGGAAAGAUCCUCCUGACCACCUGCAUGGCGUCACCGGGGUCAGACAGGAAGGGCAGCCAGCAGAGGGCAAAAGUCACCAACACUGUUGAAGCAAUUCUCACCAACAGGAAAAGCCUACAUGAAGAGGGUCACACAGAGAGACAUGCAUCAUGUCUGAGUGCAGGAGGAUCACUACGUCUUGUAUGGAUUCAUAUACGCCACAGAUCUACCACCGCCUACUGUGUUUUGUCUGUGGUGAAAUACUAUUACAACAACUACAUAAAGCCAUCCCAUCUAUCAAAGGGGUAUGAUUUAAGGGUACUUGAGCCCAUCUGAUUGUGCUGUGUGGGUAUGUAUGAAAAUUCCUUAAAAAUGUAAAAAAAAAAAAAAAAAAAAGAGAGAAAGAAAACACAAGACACAAACAAUCAGACUCACC